ensembl:snRNA U6 U6 spliceosomal RNA
GUGCUUGCGUCAGCUGCACAUGUAUUAAAAUUGGAAUGAUACAGAAGAGAUUAGCAAGGUUCCCGAAUGAAGGUGAGACACAAAUUCGUGAAACGUUCUGUAUUUUU